AGGUUCAACGACCUUCGCUUCGUGGGCCGCAGUGGGCGACCGUUCGAUGUAUACAUACAAAUGUCAGCCAUAUUUUGACUUUUCAGCAUUAAUUAAAACCAGGACAUUAUUUGCAUGUAAUAACUGUUUACUUGUUACUUUUUAUGAAACUGAAAUAGUUUACAUUCUUUCAAACAUUUCCUGUUCCUGUUGGCUCCCUUCCCCACACACAGAUUU
rnacentral:lncRNA from 1 species